UACGUAGGGCGCGAGCGUUGUCCGGAAUCAUUGGGCGUAAAGAGCUCGUAGGCGGCCGGUUGCGUCUGCUGUGAAAUCCCGGGGCUUAACCCCGGGCGUGCAGUGGAUACGGGCUGGCUGGAGGCAGGCAGGGGAGAAUGGAAUUCCCGGUGUAGCGGUGAAAUGCGCAGAUAUCGGGAGGAACACCGGUGGCGAAGGCGGUUCACUGGCUCAUAUCUGACGCUCAGGCGCGACAGCGUGGGGAUCAAACAGG
rnacentral:rRNA from 1 species